UGAGCAAGUUUAUAAGCAUAUUGAAAGUAGAGGAAGACAGCAGGGUUGGUUGCUGGAGAGAAGAGAAUGUUCAUGCUCAGGAACCGGGCCUCCAGGGAGCAGGGGUUAAAGGGACAGCCACUAGGUGGACCGAGGAAAGAUGACACAUUUGGGUGCAGCUGUAAGCUCUUGCAGCAGGAGAGAAGGUGUAGGGGACACGUGCUUUGUUGCUUCUAUUUCCUUAAAGAAGUCAUUCAGGGAGUGUGUAUUAGAGGGUGAGGAAUUAUAGGAAUGGGGUACAAGUGUGGGGUGGGGUGGACCACCAUACAUCAGCAAUGGCUGUCAAGGCCUGGGUCAGCUGAGGGUGUGGCCUGUGCUGACAUUUUCUCAGUAGCCUAUAAGGAGCUGGACACAGGGGUGAGGACCAACAGAGGCAGGUGAGGCAGGAAUGCAGGGUUGGUGAGGAGGUAGAGGAUAGUGUUCCCUUAAAGGACAAACCAACAUUGGGCUGAGCUUGGGCUGCAAGGAGGGAACAGAAAGGGGCCUGUGAGAUUUGGAGUAAUAGGGGGAAAUCAAAGGCAAAGAGAAUCAAAGGCAAUCAAAAUGGCCUGUAGGGGCAGUACUGCUGUGCCACUUGACCUUGAAUAAGUAAUUUCACCUUUCUGGGCCUUGGUCCCCCACCCCCACCCCUAUAAGAUUACCUAACCACUGUGGUACUCUCCAGCUCUACCCAUGUAUGGCUGCAAACCAGCAUAUCCCAGCCUCUCCAGCCUCCGGGUGAAGCACUUUCUGUACCUUCUAUGCUGGAGCUGCUGAGCCAGUGUGAAUCAUUUUCUGCUCUGAAGGAAUCAACCGUGGGGAACAAGAUGUAAGAUUUCAGUUCACAGAGGCUGGGUGCCAAGCCAGCGUUUCAACUGACCUGGCCAAAAGUUCACCUUCAGAUUACUUUGCCUCAGGGGUCUCAGUAAACAUUAACCAACACCUCAGAUGACCCUGGACAAGCUAUGGAAACAAUCCACCCCUUUAUGUACUCAACUGCCAGAUGGUGACAUGCGCAGCAUGGUGGUGAAGUGGAACCAGACUGGACAUGGGAAUAAAGGAACGAACAGAAAUGAUUAUUCCUGGAAAGGCCAUCGCCCCAGGCUGGAUUUCCCAGAAACAGAACCUAAGACGGGGAGUCCUGUUCAUGGGGGUUUAUAGGGAGAAUGCUCCAAGGAGAAGGGAGGGAGGAAGCAGAAUAAGGCAGGGGAGAAGAGUUGAGCAAGAGUGUGGGUCCCUCUGGAAUCCUGGAGAAGAUCUGGAGCACGGCUUGUGCAGAGUAUUCAAUUAUUCCAGCGCUCUUCUUCCUCCAGUGGAUGGAUUUUGCAUUUUGGUAUAGUUGGGUGACUUGAAGCAUCCAUCAUUCUGGAGGAAGACCAGGAUUUGUAACAGAAGGAAUGCAAAAGACAAAAACAAACAAAAAUCUUCUAUUGGAAUACAAUAUAGAAUUAUUCAGAAGAAAAAACUUUGUGAACCAGAUGUUGUCUUCAAAGAUUUCUAAAUUUUCUUAAUUUUCUCCUUUAGAAUUUCAACAGUGCAGCCUGAUUGAAUCAAUGCAUUACAGUCUCCUGAUGUGUAGGUAAAAUGCCCUUGUUUUACAUUAAGGCAUCUCUAAGAAGUAGAGUGAAAGAGGGAGGGCAUCAUGCAAGGGCCUGACCUUCCGGGGCCCCAUGUGAUAGGGGAAAUAUGGUAGCUAGGAUAGGAGAGAGAGAGGGGGGGACCGGAAGCAGGGGGGAGAGAGAGAGAGAGAGAGAGAGAGAGAGAGAGAGAGAGAGAGAGAGAGAGAGAGAGAAAAGGAAAAAGAGGUGAGAAAAUCAAUUUAGAUUAUGUGUUCUUCCAGCUUUGGCCCAAAUAGGGAGCAUCAUGGAUAGUGGAGGUAUUACCAAGGGUAGAAGGGACUCUUGUCCUUCAUCUCAUUUGAGACUCUACUGAACUGAUUGCCCUUCUGGGGUAUGGCCACAUUCACAUGGUGUGGCCCGGCAGAGAAAUAACUCAAGGUUUAGCUUUCUCGAGCCCACCUUAUUUCCAGUGAGGUGUAAGGAACCCCGAAAAGAGCAGGAGUUUAUCUGGAAAGCAUCACCAGUGGGAGUUGUCAUGGUUGGGCAGGGUCAAGGUAGCUUAUAGUGAGGGCUGCAUGGUAGACCACCUGGGGCAGGCUAAGCAGGAGACAUAGCAAGGAGAAUGGAGUGUAGACCCAACAGAGGAGUCCAAAGGACCAGAGAGAGCUGGUGUGAGGGGCCCAGCCAGGCAACCAGUGGGAGAAAGCCUGGACUAUCUGACUCUCAUACAGAUACAUACAUUGGCUGUGAAUCCCGUUAGGGCAGCAGCAGCUGGAUGGCUCAGGGAUUCCCACUCAAUCUUGCUGUAACAGCCAGAGGAAUAUUAUUCUUCACCUGCCAUGAAGUCACGUAAGCUCCACCUCUCCUCUUAGAACCAGAUGUCAUCUUGGAGAGGAGCCAGGAAGGGAACAGAAGACUGAUGUGUCUGAGAGACUAAGCCUUUAUUUCCCCUUUGAGAGUAAACAUUCUUUGAAGGGACCAUUUAAAUUAUGGUGUUAUACUGAGGUUCAAACCUGAUUAGCCAUUGAGGGAAUCAGAUUGCAUUUGUGAAUAUUUUAAAAAAUCAAAUCCACUCUCAGAGGACAAAGAUUAGCUAGUUUUGAAAGACUUCAAAAAAUAUGCUAAUAUAUGACACCCAUCCAAAUGUAUCCACCCAAAUGUAAAUGAAAACAACUAUCCUA